UUGGAAUUCAGGGCUGGUAGAGAAGGAAUAAUCUGGGGAACUGAAGUCCAAGGGCAACUGGAAAGACAGGAAAGUCAGGAAAGCUCUGGGGAAGAGCAGAAAUAUCAGGUAAGCGAAGAUGGAACUGCCCAAAGGCUAGAACAAGACAACAGGGAAAGGGUGUCAGCACAGAACUGGGAAGGAGACUGCUGGCAAGAAGGCUCUGGAGAUGGCUUAAAGAAAUGGCCAGCAGACAUCAGUGAUAGACAAAAGAGGAAAAACAGAAGAGGAUUGAGCGACGCAGGAAGCCGGAGAGAACGCGUUGACUGGGGAAGCCCAGGAAGGAGAAGGUGGACAGGAAAGACUCACCAUCCAUCCUCAGGAACUGUCGAUCAGAAGCAAAGGAGACCAGCAAAAGGAUGACAGCUGGAGUGAAGAGAAGCUUGCUGCCCGGGGAAGGGAGAACAAGGAGGAAACCCCUUCAGCUUCACAUUUACGUAAGUUGGCCAAUGCAACAGAGGAGUCACCCCCUGUAAUUGUGGGAGGUCCAGAGGAUGGUCCGAACAAUGAAGGUGCCCAAGUAGGAGCAAGCCAGUGAUGGAUGAGAUUGUCAAGGUCAAGAAAGAAAUAUCUGCCAUGGGAACUCCAGGAGUCAAUAUGGUGAAUAGCUAUUUGUCUAAUAACGCAUGAAGUGGCUCUGAGGAGAGAGUGCUGAACUCAGAGGCAGGUUCAGACACCUACUGACUGGGUGA